rnacentral:rRNA from 1 species
UGCAGAGGGGGCAAGCGUUAUUCGGAAUUAUUGGGCGUAAAGGGCGCGUAGGCGGCCUCGUAAGUCGAAGGUGAAAUCCCCGAGCUUAACUCGGGAACUGCCUUCGAUACUGCUUGGCUUGAGUCCGGGAGGAAAGUGGAAUUCCUAGUGUAGCGGUGAAAUGCGUAGAUAUUAGGAGGAACACCGGUGGUGAAGACGACGUACUGGAUGGUCACUGACGCUGAGAGGCGAAAGCGUGGGUAGCAAACAGGAUUAGAAACCCCAGUAGU